AACCCGGAAAUACUGCCGGCCUUAACAAGUGGAGACGGACUGCAGCAAGUGGUCCACACUCUUCGGGGGGAACCAGAGUCCAUUGAAAAAUUCGCCAUUUUAAUGCACCCGAUGAGCUCAUUUACGUCCGAAAUGAGCAAAACCUCGCCACGUAUGUCGUCGCAAGGGACGCCGAAUCAAUCGCCACUACUCAACGCUGCUAAAUAACACAAAGCAUCCCUGUAUUGUUGCAAAUAAUGCAUUGUGUGAUGUGUUAUUGCGUGACAUUCUUGCCACCUAACUGGUCCUGUCUGGCCGGUUUCGGGGGCUCUCGUUGCCUGGUGCGACAAAGUUUUCUUUCGCUUUUGCAUGUCAGGUUUCGCGGCGUGUAACAUUGAAAAAUGAGUCCAUCGAGUGUAGAUACAUCACAGAAGAUGUUUUGUUGGCUUCAUUUGUCGUUAAAUCAUAAUUGGAAAGUAGUUCGCCAACUGGCUCCCUCUCCUCCACCCCUGCUGGUGAGCCGAAUCGGUCAGUCCAUUCCAGGCGCUCUGGCCAAUGAUAGCGGGCCCCAGAAGGGGGCUGUUGGAGGGAGGCGCUGGGAUUGGCUGCCCUCAGCGAUCGAUCCGCGGAAUGAUUGAUUGAUUGGUCCGAGGUGAUUGGCGAGAAGGUGCAAAAGCAAGCACAUCAUCAUCAUCAUCAUCACCAGGCCACACUUUCGGUUUAUUUACAACUUUGUGGCGCUUGUUUAUGGCCAAUUUGAUGGAGUGGGUGUGGUUGUAAUAAACGCACGAUAAUAAAUGCACAACUGAAAAGAAUUGUCCCAUGUGAUUUCACUUUUUUUAACCUCAAUUCACCCAAUUAAACUGCACGCAAACUCAUUAAAUUAUUCUGUUUAUACUUACAAAUCAGCAUUCUUUUGUCUUCAAAUGCAUUCAAAACACUUUCAAUUGUCACCGAGUUGCACUUUAUUGCCUAAAUAAUUACGUUAUUCUCAUAUGCAAAAAGACUAACACCCAUAACUUCAUGUUAUGAUACUUGAUAUAUACAAAGUGACGUCACCACAAUUCCUCAUAUGUGUAUUAAGUUGGAACUGAGCUGGUAAAAAACAAUAAAUGCGUGUACAAUAAAUGUGUGGACUGCUAAAAUGCUGCACACCGAUCGUUCGAACGACACAAUUAACAUUUCUGAGGACACUCCAUAUAAAGUAGUACGCAUGAAAGUAAAAUAGAAUAAAUGUGAUAUACCGGGUCGUACUUUAACCUGUGACACCAUAAUUCAUUUGCAUAUAUGUAACUAAUUUGUAGGCAAUGUUUGGCGACAAGGUGAUCAUGAAGUCAUAUUUCCAGCAUUAAGGUAGUAAAAUGCAAUUAAUGUGACUUCCGCAUGCAGUCAGAUUCCACUCGCUCGUGCUUCAGCAGCUUUCCAAGCCUAUUAAUAUAAAGAAGGAAACCGCAAUAAAUGUAAUUUUUGUAUGAAGAUAGGCCUUUGACGAGUUCUGUCCUCACAAUUCCCAUCAUAUGGAAUAAUAUUCAGAAUAUAAAUUAAUAAAUACGCAGGUAGUGUGCGAAGUGUGAUAUAUGUGGACAGCUGGCUCGAUAGAUUGGUAGGCAGAACUUUAAAAUAGUGGUGUCAUAAUUUUUACAAGUAUAUAAAUUCACGUAGAGCUGCAAAAAAGUCAUGAUUUUAACCAGUGACGUCAUAUUCCCCCCAGCGUAUGCAUUAUUUAUAUUGUAUUAUAUAUAUGAGAAAAGGAGCAAAGUGCAAUAAAUGUCAUUCCUGUAGUGCACUGCGUGACGUCAUCACAGGACUUAGCGUAGAGAUAUGCAUUUAUUGAUCAUGAUAGUUAUGCUAAUAUUAAUGUGGGGGCGGGUGCGUACGUUCCAGGCUGCUGAAAGUCGUCCGUCACAUUCAGCGAGGGACGACGGCUGCGAGGAAGGCCGGCACGGGGGCGACGAGGGACGCGGGGAAGAGGCGUGUUAGGGCUCCUUCUUCAUCUUCUUCCUUCAGUCCUCCUCUCGGAGCCGACCAGGACGCACGACAGACUUGUACGCCCAACCGAAUUACCAAGGUUCCUAAUAACUGCUUUUGUUUCAGGUGUUCUAAUGGCUUCACACGCUUGGAAGUUCCUCUCUUGCCCAACCCCCCUCCCUCACCAAAAAGUGUUGCGGGUGAGGACAGACGGGAUGCACGGGUGAGGGGUUGUCACACCUUGCAGGGAGGCUGUGAAUUGAUCAGCACCUCAGAGGGAGGGAGGCAGGGAUGAAGACAUGUGAGAAAGGAGAGUGAGGAAGGACGUGAGGCAAGAAGAAGGGAAGAAGAGGAUGGUGGUGUGAAGAUUCUUCUUUUCAUGGUGGCGGGUAUGAAUGUCAAAAAUCUGCCGGACUUAAAAACAAAAAAACACAAAAAAAACGGGACGAUGAUUUGAGUUCGGAUUGGACAUCGACACAAAAUAAUAUCGCAGUGUCAUAUGGAGCAUCAAGUAUUGCUAGUAUGUACACUUGAAUGGCAGUUUUAAGUUUGUCGACAUCGUAUCAUGGCAAUGAGGUAUCAUAUUUCAUUUGCGUGCAAUAAAAAUGUUGCUUUGUAAUGAUUUAAUGAUUUGUUGUGAAUGUAAUUCACAACUUUUUGAAAGUAACAAUGCAAAACUAAUACAAGAAUCACUGUAUCGUGAUACCAGUGGUAUCGCUGGCAAAAUAUAAUAUCGUAUUGUAUAGACUGCAUCAAAAUAUCCAAAUUUAUGCAAUGCGAUGACUUGAGAUAUAAAUCACCAAUAAAAACAUGUUUCAUUGCAUAUCUGUUAUAAAUAUUCUGCAAAUUGCAGUUAACUGUAUCAUAAUUGGACAACGGUAUUGCAAUGUAAUUGGAGUAAAUUGCAUUGUCUUAAGUUUUGUUACUUAAUGUACCUUAAGUGAUUUCAUGCAGCGUAGAUUAUUUUCUUGCAAUACAUAAAUUACUGCUGUAUCGCGAUCCCAUCGAUAUCAUUGGAAAACAUGAUAUCGUAUUGCAAUUUACGCCACAUCCUUCUAUAACCCGUUUGCUUUCAUUAUAUGCAGCAGAUUAAGUGGUAGAUGUGCUUUGGUGAUGUGGCGAAUGGUGUUUUCACAGGACAUCAAUUGCUCAACGGCCGUACAGCGAUACCACGAGCAAUGACGGCCAAGAGUUGCAAGAAUCGUAUUAUGAUUUAGGGUGCAAUUUCCAUUAAUAAUACUUCUACUCUUAAAAUUUUAGUGGCCCCCCUCCCCUCAAAAAAAAAACUCACAGAAAA